rnacentral:lncRNA from 1 species
AAUUAACUUUUAUAUAUUAAAAAUAGAUUAAAAUUUUAAAAUUUAUGUCACAUAUUAUAAAAAAAAGUUUGCAAAAAAAUAUUCUUUUUAAUAUAAAAAAAAUAAAAGAAUUGGAACAUAUUGUACCAACUAUUUUAGGAAGUGAUUCGGAUGGAAAUAAAUUGAGGAAAAGAUAUGAAUCUCUUAAAUAAAUGAUUAAUUAAAUUAAUAUUAAAUUAUAUGAUUUUGGAAUUACUCUUUUCAUUUACUCUUAGGUCAAUAUAUCCUAAUAAAAAAAACCAUUG